rnacentral:rRNA from 1 species
UUUNUNGCUUCANGCUCUUUNCAUGCAASGUCGUACGAGAGUUUUUAACUCAAGUGGCGGACGGGUGAGUAACACGUAAGAAUUUACCUUUAGGAGGGGGACAACAAUUGGAAACAGUUGCUAAUACCCCAUAUGCUUUCGAGUGAAAUGGAUUUUUCCGCCUAGAGAGAAGCUUGCGGCUGAUUAGCUUGUUGGUGAGGUAAUGGCUUACCAAGGCGACGAUCAGUAUCUGGUUUGAGAGGACGAUCAGACACACUGGAACUGAGACACGGUCCAGACUCCUACGGGAGGCAGCAGUGGGGAAUUUUCCGCAAUGGGCGAAAGCCUGACGGAGCAAUCUCGCGUGAGGGAUGACUGCCUAUGGGUUGUAAACCUCUUUUUUCAGGGAGGAAUCAAUGACGUGUACCUGAAGAAUAAGCAUCGGCUAACUCCGUGCCAGCAGCCGCGGUAAGACGGAGGAUGCAAGUGUUAUCCGUGAAUCACUGGGCCGNAAAGCCGUUUGUAGG